rnacentral:rRNA from 1 species
CCCCCCUCUCCUUGCUUGCCGAGCGGUUCAGGCCGGGAACUCAAAGGAGACUGCCAGUGAUAAACUGGAGGAAGGUGGGGAUGACGUCAAGUCAUCAUGGCCCUUACGACCAGGGCUACACACGUGCUACAAUGGCAUAUACAAAGAGAAGCGACCUCGCGAGAGCAAGCGGACCUCAUAAAGUACGUCGUAGUCCGGAUUGGAGUCUCUCAACUCGACUCCCUUGAAGUCGGAAUCGCUAGUAAUCGCCAGAUCAGAAUGGUAAAGUGAAUACGUUCCCGGGCCUUGUACACACCGCCCGUCACACCAUGGGAGGUGGGGAACAAAAGAAGUAGGUAGCCUUACCUUCAAGGAAGGGCCGUUAUGACCCCAGUGAAAGACUACACUUG